UCCUGUUGAUGUAUAUCCCCAGGCCCGUUUGUACAGUUCGUUCCCCCCUGUUUUAUCCUGUUGGGUUACCGCAAAUAUUUGACCCUUUUAUCCAACUCUACCAUGGGCGACCUACUGGAGAUGUGGACCUGACCCUCCGCCAUGUAGCAGACAACCCCCUCAGGUCCUGCGGUGUAUCUUCCCAAGUGGCGUGGAUGUGAGGAGACACGACAUUUCACCUGAUGUUCCAUGGGCGACCUACUGGUGAUGUGGACCUGACCCUCCGCCAUGUAGCAGACAACCCCCCUCAGGUCUUCCGGUGUAUCCUUCCUAAGUGGCGUGGAUGUGAAGAGACACAGUUCCCCUGAUGUUCCCUGGGCAAUCUACUUACGUACAAUUCAACUGCAUUACAAAUUUUAAUAAAAACCACAGGAAACUUCUAUUUUUUAAAGUUUAUUGAAGAAAAAUGUUAUUUUUUAAAUAAAGUUUGAAAGUUAAUUAAAAC